AAAGAAUGACGGUUCUCGUGUGUCCGAGCUGAAGUCUAGUGAUAAUUGGGAUCUGUUGUUCUAGGAAUAUCCACUAGAUGGUACUGUGGUAACUCAUUUUGUUUCUAUUUACAGUCAGCGCUUCGAAAUGGCCUAAAAUCUUCCCUUCACUUUUGAACAGAAUAUUUCAUUCUAUCACAGUCCUGUUGAAGCAUUAUCAAACAGCAUGGGGAAUCAGAAACUAAACGUAUUAAUUAGUUUGUAAAUGAGAUAAAACAAAUGCGAGUAAGAACAAGCUCAGACAAGCUCAAUGCAAUUGAGAGUCAAUUGUCAAACACAUUUUAUGGCAUUUAAUACUUAUGAAUAGAAAUACAUUUCUUAUUUGAGAGCUUUGACCCUUAUCACAGAGAUGCGUUUUGUCAUUCUGGCCUCCAACACCACGACUGAAUUAUUGUUUUUAUUCUAGGGGUCAGUUCAUUGCACAGAUUAGCAUUAGCCGACAAACCCACAGUAAUGGAUUUCUCCCAUCACGGGGCAUAAAUGAUGAUUCUUUUUUCAUUUGUGGACGAUAACUCCAUCUAGCACAGAUGCCAAUGAAAAUUACAGCCUUCUCUUGAGCGACUGAACUACGCUGAUGUUUUGAUGCAUCCUUGCACGUCGACGGCCGUGAUUGAGGUAGAUUGUCUAGGACCUGCUGCUUUUCCCUGAUAUGGUCGGGAGAGCAAGAGAGUACGGUGCAGAGGAGGGAGGGCCGUCUGCCCUCCACGGCCCUGUAUCUCCUCCCGCCACAGGACUACCUCACGCCCAGGCUUGUUUGCGGGAUUGGCACUAAUUCAGCAGCGCCAGCGUCUGACCUCAGCGGCAGCGGCGCUCCGAGCUCCGAGAAGACCCAAGGCGAUUCGAGGGAUUCACCUCAACUGGGGAGGGGAGGGACGGCUGGCGCUGGUGGCAUCACCUUGCAACCCCCUGUCAAUCUACCACCUUUCAUCAGCUGAGAAGGACAGAGGGGUGUAGGCGGAAAAAAACGGAGGAAAAGUACUGUUUAUUUUUUAACAGGACUGUUAAUCUAUUUGGACUGGGGUAAUAGAACAUUUGCCUGGCACCUGCAGAGAGCCGUCUGCGGGAACGCAGGGUUGUGACAUUCCCCCUAAAUAUGCUGAGCUUUCUCUCACCUCUCAUCAAACAGUGUGAUCUUUAUGGACUGUAUCAUAUUGUGCCGUAAUGUGCUUUAUUGUCCACAGAAUAAGCUUUUCUUAAAGGUAAUUGGAAACCUGGAAAUGGCUGCUAUCGGCUGAUUUUUAAAUACAUUAUUUCUGAAAUGUGGCCUGGGUAAUGACCCUGUCGGUGUAAAAUGUAAGAUUUAUCUUGGCAGACAAAAUUGAUCCAUUUCACCUUUGUCUAAUGGAAAUUUUUAUCAGGGAUUAUCUGUUUAUGUAAAUGAGCGUUGCCCUGGAACAGGGAAAUAAAAGGAGCUUGAGAGGGCA